rnacentral:rRNA from 1 species
GUGUCAGCCGCCGCGGUAAUACGUAGGUGGCAAGCGUUGUCCGGAAUUAUUGGGCGUAAAGCGCGCGCAGGCGGCUAUGUAAGUCUGAUGUUAAAGCCCGGGGCUCAACCCCGGUUCGCAUUGGAAACUGUGUAGCUUGAGUGCAGAAGAGGAAAGCGGUAUUCCACGUGUAGCGGUGAAAUGCGUAGAGAUGUGGAGGAACACCAGUGGCGAAGGCGGCUUUCUGGUCUGUAACUGACGCUGAGGCGCGAAAGCGUGGGGAGCAAACAGGAUUAGAUACCCUGGUAGUCCACGCUGUAAACGAUGAGUGCUAGGUGUUGGGGGGUACCACCCUCAGUGCCGCAGCUAACGCAAUAAGCACUCCGCCUGGGGAGUACGCUCGCAAGAGUGAA